GAGGAAUACUGGGCAAUGCCCGCAAGGGUGACCCAGCAACGCCGCGUGGAGGAUGAAUGUCGUAAGAUUGUAAACUCCUGUUAGAGGGGAAGAAUAGUACCGGUUGGACCGGUAUAUGACUGUACCCUCAGAGAAAGCCCCGGCUAACUACGUGCCAGCAGCCGCGGUAAUACGUAGGGGGCAAGCGUUGUCCGGAUUUACUGGGUGUAAAGGGCGCGCAGGCGGGAUAAAAAGUCAGUGGUGAAAUCCUACAGCUUAACUGUAGAACUGCCUUUGAUACUUUUAUUCUUGAGUUCGGGAGAGAGAGACGGAAUUCCAGGUGUAGUGGUGAAAUACGUAGAUAUCUGGAAGAACACCAGUUGCGAAGGCGGUCUCUUGGUCCGACACUGACGCUGAGGCGCGAAAGCGUGGGGAGCAAACA
rnacentral:rRNA from 1 species